ensembl:lncRNA
CUCCAUCCAUCCUGUAACAGCCCAACGCGUGCUCUGCAUCUUUAAAACUCUCUUCUUGUCAGAGUCCUGACCUCCGUGAAGGCUUUGGGCCCGGCUUACACAUCACUGCUCCCUUCUCAUGACCGCUCUUUAUCGGACAAUCAUUGUACCUGAGAAGAUCUGCAGGCCAUCAGGUAACCUGUAGGGACCCUUGUUUCACUUUUUUUGUUCCUUCACAUCCCUUCCUUGCUGCUACACAUUCACAACAGAGAUGUUGGUUACAUCUUGCUCAGAAUGAUGUGCUCCCAUGUACAGCAGCAGCGUGUUUCCCACACAGAAGUGCUGCACCUCGGAAAGUGAAAGGGAGUCUCUACCUGUCCUAAUGAUACACAUAAACAGUCCCCCUGCCUCCUUCUCUCAGCUGCCUUGGUUUCUUUUAAAGUGCCCACAAACAGCUAUUUCCUGUCUUUCAGGACAUGCUGCUGUGGCUUGUGCUGUUAUUGCCAAAUUUUUGAAUAAGAUUCCUGUUCUUGACAUCCAGUUAAACACUGAAAGAAAAGAAUAUCCAAGUGACAAGUUCAUGAACAGGAUGAAACAAGCUUCUGAAAGAGAAACAGAGAGCUUUAGCCUCAACCUGGGCAAUGGACUGGCUAUGGUAGAGGGAGUCCUUGGAUAAUGGCACCUGUGGUCCAGUAUCUCCAUCCAGCCAGACCAGGGACUGACAGAUGAAACUACACUUGAUCCACGCCAGUGUGGCAAUUGACCCUCUGUGCCGCAUCUUCCAAAGCUGGUUAUAGGUACAUAAAUAUCACAGGUAAGAAGGUUCUAUAUUGCUCAACAGUAAGAAAGCACUUACUACUACUGAAUUGUACACUUCCAAGUGGUUAAGAUGGUAAAUUUUAUGUUGUGUAUUUUACCACAAUUAAAAAAAUACAUCUGUAGCAGCAACAUGGAUGGACUUAGAGAAUGUUAUAUUUAGUGAAGUUGGACACUGAAAGACAAAUAUUUUAUCACUUAUAAGAGAGAUCUAAAAAAUAAUACAAAUGAAUCUAUAUACAAAACAGAAAUAGACUCACAGACAUAGAAAACAAACCUAUGGUUACCAAAGGGGAAAGGGAGAGGGAGAGUAAGGAUUAACAGAUACAAACUGCUAUACUUUAAAUAGAUAAGCAACAAAGAUUUACAGUAUAGCUCAGGGAAUUACAUUCAAUACCUGGUAAUAAUGUCUAAUAAAAAAGUUGGGAAAAAAUAUGUAACUUGGCUG